GACGAACGCUGGCGGCGUGCUUAACACAUGCAAGUCGAACGGUGACGAAGGAGCUUGCUCCUUCUGAUCAGUGGCGAACGGGUGAGUAACACGUGAGCAAUCUGCCCUUGACUCUGGGAUAACUGCGGGAAACUGUAGCUAAUACCGGAUACGACCCUCGGAGGCAUCUCCUGGGGGUGGAAAGAAUUUUGGUCAAGGAUGAGCUCGCGGCCUAUCAGCUAGUUGGUGAGGUAAUGGCUCACCAAGGCGACGACGGGUAGCCGGCCUGAGAGGGUGACCGGCCACACUGGGACUGAGACACGGCCCAGACACCUACGGGUGGCAG
rnacentral:rRNA from 1 species